rnacentral:rRNA from 1 species
UACCAGCACCCCGAGUGGUCGGGACGAUUAUUGGGCCUAAAGCAUCCGUAGCCGGUUUUACAAGUCCUCCGUUAAAUCCAGCUGCUUAACAGAUGGGCUGCGGAGGAUACUAUAAGACUAGGAGGCAGGAGAGGCAAGCGGUACUCAGUGGGUAGGGGUAAAAUCCGUUGAUCCAUUGAAGACCACCAGAGGCGAAGGCGGCUUGCCAGAAUGCGCUCGACGGUGAGGGAUGAAAGCUGGGGGAGCAAACCGG